rnacentral:rRNA from 1 species
CUACGUGCCAGCAGCCGCGGUAAUACGUAGGUCCCGAGCGUUGUCCGGAUUUAUUGGGCGUAAAGCGAGCGCAGGCGGUUAGAUAAGUCUGAAGUUAAAGGCUGUGGCUUAACCAUAGUACGCUUUGGAAACUGUUUAACUUGAGUGCAAGAGGGGAGAGUGGAAUUCCUUGUGUAGCGGUGAAAUGCGUAGAUAUAUGGAGGAACACCGGUGGCGAAAGCGGCUCUCUGGCUUGUAACUGACGCUGAGGCUCGAAAGCGUGGGUAGCAAACAGGAUUAGAUACCCUGGUAGUCCACGCCCUAAACGAUGUCAAUUAGCUGUUGGGCAACUUGAUUGCUUAGUAGCGUAGCUAACGCGUGAAAUUGACCGCCUGGGGAGUACGGUCGCAAGAUUAAAACUCAAAGGAAUUGACGGGGACCCGCACAAGCGGUGGAUGAUGUGGAUUAAUUCGAUGCAACGCGAAGAACCUUACCUGGUCUUGACAU